GGGGUAUUUUUCUCCUCAUCACUUGGUUACAGUGAUGCGCCUGCUGGGGGCCGUCCAAGAAAGAACGUCAGAAACGGCAAAUGAAGCCCAGAGGUUUGGCAGGGCUGCCAAGGCAUUUAAUAGAACACCCUGAUUAUUCCCAAAUCAAUCAUGCAGUUAGAGUUUUACCAAAACUUAUGACUGAACAUGAAUGCAAGAAUCCCGUGGCACUCUACAUCCUCAAAAAGGUAACUCUCUAAGUAACAAAAAAGAUGCAAAGCUGUCACCAUCAGUAUCUGACUCAAAACAUAACUAAAUAAACCCUUGUCUGAAUAAAUGUUCAUUUAUUAAAUCGAUAAAAUGCCGAGAGAUACUGUGGGGGUUUGUACAUUUUUAUUUCUCAACUCUCAUUCAGCUGUUAGGAUGACUACAAUAUCUCAAUUAAGAAUAUAAUACAGCCACUACACCUUUGGUAUUGUUUGGACCUGUUUAGAGAGCAUUAUGCUAAUGAGUUUGACCCAUUCAUAUCCUGCCAUUACCCCCU